GCAUCGGAUAGUUCCACGGCGUGAUCGCGCCGACGACACCGGCGGGUUCGCGUACGACAAGCGAGUUUCGGAUCGUCUCCGGAUCGAACCC
rnacentral:tRNA from 1 species